UACGAAGGUCCCGAGCGUUGUUCGGAAUUACUGGGCGUAAAGGGAGCGUAGGCGGCUCGGUAAGUCAGAUGUGAAAUCCCGGGGCUCAACCCCGGAACUGCAUCCGAUACUGCCGUGCUAGAGGAUUGGAGAGGUAGCUGGAAUUCUUGGUGUAGCAGUGAAAUGCGUAGAGAUCAAGAGGAACACUCGUGGCGAAAGCGGGCUACUGGACAAUUCCUGACGCUGAGGCUCGAAGGCCAGGGUAGCGAAAGGG
rnacentral:rRNA from 1 species